GACGAACGCUGGCGGCGUGCUUAACACAUGCAAGUCGAACGAUGAAGCUGGAGCUUGCUCCGGUGGAUUAGUGGCGAACGGGUGAGUAACACGUGAGCAAUCUGCCCUUGACUCUGGGAUAACUGCGGGAAACUGUAGCUAAUACCGGAUAUGAGGCUCGAAGGCAUCUUCGGGUCUGGAAAGAAUUUCGGUCAAGGAUGAGCUCGCGGCCUAUCAGCUUGUUGGUGAGGUAAUGGCUCACCAAGGCGACGACGGGUAGCCGGCCUGAGAGGGUGACCGGCCACACUGGGACUGAGACACGGCCCAGACUCCUACGGGAGGCAGCAGUGGGGAAUAUUGCACAAUGGGCGAAAGCCUGAUGCAGCAACGCCGCGUGAGGGAUGAAGGCCUUCGGGUUGUAAACCUCUUUUAGCAGGGAAGAAGCGAAAGUGACGGUACCUGCAGAAAAAGCACCGGCUAACUACGUGCCAGCAGCCGCAGUAA
rnacentral:rRNA from 1 species